UAGGGAAUCUUCCACAAUGGACGCAAGUCUGAUGGAGCAACGCCGCGUGAGUGAAGAAGGUUUUCGGAUCGUAAAGCUCUGUUGUUGGUGAAGAAGGAUAGAGGUAGUAACUGGCCUUUAUUUGACGGUAAUCAACCAGAAAGUCACGGCUAACUACGUGCCAGCAGCCGCGGUAAUACGUAGGUGGCAAGCGUUGUCCGGAUUUAUUGGGCGUAAAGCGAGCGCAGGCGGAAGAAUAAGUCUGAUGUGAAAGCCCUCGGCUUAACCGAGGAACUGCAUCGGAAACUGUUUUUCUUGAGUGCAGAAGAGGAGAGUGGAAUUCCAUGUGUAGCGGUGGAAUGCGUAGAUAUAUGGAAGAACACCAGUGGCGAAGGCGACUCUCUGGUCUGCAACUGACGCUGAGGCUCGAAAGCAUGGGUAGCGUACAGG
rnacentral:rRNA from 1 species